rnacentral:lncRNA from 1 species
CUCCAGCUAUGUCAGGCUGACUUACUUGACUGCUUUAAAUCACACUAAACUUACUCUUUCUGAACUGAUAUGAGAGUAUUGAUCUUAACCAUGGUAAAACCUCACCUAAAACAAACAUCGGACUGUUCCAUCCUGAAUACUUUUCCAAAUAACUGAAGUUUAUCCAAUUAAGUGCAAAAUAUCUUCAUUUUGCUUCAAAGUAGAAAUUGCUCAAAAAAGUACUAUUCACUUCCUGUAGAUUAUACAGUGGAAAGAGCACCAUUGAAAGUCAUUGAGACUUAGCUAGAUUCAUCUCUGGAGUAUGGCUUUGGAUAAACUACUUAUCUCUAAGUCUGAUUCUGUCUUCUGUAAGUGGACAUACUACCUUCCUGCCUACUUCUUAGGAUCAAAUAAGAUCCUGUAGGUGAAACAUUUUGCAAAUUCAAAAGUGUUUUGCACAUUUAAGAUACCGUCAUUUGGCAGGAGGUCUGUUUGAGUCCAGG